rnacentral:lncRNA from 10 species
CUGCUGUGCUAGCAAUCAGUGAGACUCCCUGGGCAUAGGACCCUCCGAGCCAGGUGGGGGUUAUAAUCUCGUGGUGCGCCGUUUUUUAAGCCCGUCGGAAAAGCGCAGUAUUCCGGUUGGAGUGACCCGAUUUCCAGUGAGAUGAACCCGGUACCUCAGAUGGAAAUGCAGAAAUCACCCGUCUUCUGCGUCGCUCAAGCUGGGAGCUGUAGACCGGAGCUGUUCCUACUCGGCCAUCUUGGCUCCUCCCCGCCAAGAAUAUGACUGCAUUUGGAAAUAGGGACUUUAAAGAGGUGAUUAAGUUACAAUGAGGCCACUAGAGAAGACAAUUAUCCAUUUGGACUGAUGUGCUUAGAAGAAGAGCAUAUUGGUAAAAAGAGACACCAGAGGUACAACAGCACAGAGAAAGACCAUGUGAGGACAUAGUGAGAAGAUGGCCAUCCCAUCUGCAAGCCAAGGACAGAGGCCUCAGGAGAAACCAACCCUGAUGACACCUUGAUCUUGGACUUCACAGCCUCCAGAACUAACAUACUCAAGUGUCUCAGCUCAACAUUUGGAGAUGAGCCAUCCUCCUCUUAUUGUAAGAAAAGCUUGAAGGAGUAUUUUCACAGCGAUGGAACUGGAAGUUAAGGCAACUUCUAUCAGCAUCAAGAAAAGAAAAGAAGUAUUCACCACUUACGAAACAACAUCUCUCUUCUCAUCAAUAGUUUGAUUUACAGCAUCUACUGCAGAAGACCUCAAUAAUGCAUAAGAACAUCUGGAAGUACGGUAAUUUCAGCUAUCAGAGAUAAGAAUUGACACAGAACAGAACUGAAAGAGAACCUUUGAAACACCCUUUAGAUUAAGAGCCUGGCUUGUAAUCUGUAACAACAAACGGUAUUACAAUGAGGUAAGAACUCUACUACAUCUGUUUCUAUUAUUAGGAUUGCUACUGAUACUAAUAAUUAUCAUUAUUAUUGCUAACACUUAUUGAGUGCUCGGAAUAUACCAGAAACUAUUCCAAGUGGUUCAUGUAAUGACUCAAUAUAUGUGUAAAGAUUUAGAACUGUGAUUGAUGCAUAUUAAAUGCUCACAAAGGUUAACUACUAUUAUUAUGUACAAUAAGAUAAAAACUAUUACUAUUGUGCAUAGGCAAAAACUAAGAAUGUUUAAGUAACUUUCCCAGGGUUGUGCUUCAUGCUGCUAACAAAUGACAUUAUUAAGAUUUGAACCAAGUUCGUAUGACUCCUGUCCAUAUUCUUAACAUUAAUUCCACACUUAU